rnacentral:lncRNA from 1 species
GCCCAGUAAUGAAAUGGUGCCUGACCCAGAGUGGGGACUUACUAGAAAUUAUUGAUUAAAGAAUAAUGCAUGAAGGUCGCCAAGGAAGUCAGAGUGGAGGCUGUCUGAAGGAUGGGUUUGAAUGAACUUUGGCUGCUCCAUCAAGCAGGCUGAUUACUGAGAACACAUCAAGAGCUUCACCCGAAUGACUCAUCACCCAGAUCCAACAGAGACUUAUCAGUGACUUGCUGAAGGUGAAGAAACA